rnacentral:rRNA from 1 species
CAAUGGGGGAAACCCUGACGAUGCGACGCCGCGUGGAGGAUGAAGGCCUUAGGGUUGUAAACUCCUGUCAAGAGGGAAUAAGCAAGUGAAGGUACCUCUAGAGGAAGGGGCGGCUAAUUCCGUGCCAGCAGCCGCGGUAACACGGAAGCCCCGAGCGUUGUUCGGAUUCAUUGGGCGUAAAGGGUGCGUAGGCGGCGCGGAAAGUCCGGCGUGAAAGGCAGAGGCUCAACCUCUGGACUGCGUUGGAUACUUCCGUGCUUGAGGACUGGAGGGGAGACUGGAAUUCACGGUGUAGCAGUGAAAUGCGUAGAUNUCGUGAGGAAGACCGGUGGCGAAGGCGAGUCUCUGGACAGAUCCUGACGCUGAGGCACGAAGGCUGGGGGAGCGAACAGGAUUAGAUACCCUGGUAGUCCCAGCAGUAAACGAUGUGAGCUUGAUGUGGGGGGAUUCGACCCCUUCCGUGUCGAAGCUAACGCGAUAAGCUCACCGCCUGAGGAGUACGGCCGCAAGGCUAAAACUCAAAGAAAUUGACGGGGACCCGCACAAGCGGUGGAGUAUGUGGCUUAAUUCGAUGCAACGCGAAGAACCUUACCUGGCCUUGACAUGCAUUGUGUCGUCGGUGAAAGCCGGCUAGUCCUGGAAACAGGACGCUUUGCACAGGUGCUACAUGGCUGUCGUCAGCUCGUGUCGUGAGAUGUUGGGUUAAGUCCCGCAACGAGCGCAACCCUUGUGGUCAGUUACUAACCGGCUUAGCCGGAGGACUCUGGCCAGACUGCCCUGUCAAACGGGGAGGAAGGUGGGGACGACGUCAAGUCAGUAUGGCCCUUAUGGCCAGGGCUGCACACGUACUACAAUGCCCGGUACAAUGUGAACCGAAACCGCGAGGUGGAGGAAAUCGCUCUUGAAAACCGGGCCCAGUUCGGAUUGGAGUCUGCAACUCGACUCCAUGAAGUCGGAAUCGC